UACGGGGGGAGCAAGCGUUGUUCGGAUUUACUGGGCGUAAAGGGCGCGUAGGCGGUCAGCACAAGUCAGUUGUGAAAUCUCCGGGCUUAACUCGGAAAGGUCAACUGAUACUGUGCGACUAGAGUGCAGAAGGGGCAACUGGAAUUCUCGGUGUAGCGGUGAAAUGCGUAGAUAUCGAGAGGAACACCUGCGGCGAAGGCGGGUUGCUGGGCUGACACGUGACGCUGAGGAGCGAAAGCGUGGGGAGCGAACAGG
rnacentral:rRNA from 1 species